rnacentral:rRNA from 1 species
CCUACGGGAGGCAGAAGUGAGGAAUAUUGGUCAAUGGACGAGAGUCUGAACCAGCCAAGUAGCGUGAAGGAUGACUGCCCUAUGGGUUGUAAACUUCUUUUAUAUGGGAAUAAAACGUUCCACGUGUGGGAUUUUGUAUGUACCCUAUGAAUAAGGAUCGGCUAACUCCGUGCCAGCAGCCGCGGUAAUACGGAGGAUCCGAGCGUUAUCCGGAUUUAUUGGGUUUAAAGGGUGCGUAGGUGGAUUGUUAAGUCAGUUGUGAAAGUUUGCGGCUCAACCGUAAAAUUGCAGUUGAAACUGGCAGUCUUGAGUACAGUAGAGGUGGGCGGAAUUCGUGGUGUAGCGGUGAAAUGCUUAGAUAUCACGAAGAACUCCGAUUGCGAAGGCAGUUCACUGGACUGCAACUGACACUGAGGCUCGAAAGUGUGGGUAUCAAACAGGAUUAGAUACCCUUGUAGUC